rnacentral:rRNA from 1 species
GAUGAACGCUGGCGGUAUGCCUUAUACAUGCAAGUCGUACGAGAGUUUUUAACUCAAGUGGCGGACGGGUGAGUAACACGUAAGAAUUUGCCUUUAGGAGGGGGAUAACAGCUGGAAACGGUUGCUAAUACCCCAUAUGCUUUCGAGUGAAAUGGAUUUUUCGCCUAAAGAGAAGCUUGCGGCUGAUUAGCUUGUUGGUGAGGUAAUGGCUCACCAAGGCGACGAUCAGUAUCUGGUUUGAGAGGACGAUCAGACACACUGGAACUGAGACACGGUCCAGACUCCUACGGGAGGCAGCAGUAGGGAAUUUUCCGCAAUGGGCGAAAGCCUGACGGAGCAAUACCGCGUGAGGGAUGACGGCCUAUGGGUUGUAAACCUCUUUUUUCAGGGAGGAAUCAAUGACGUGUACCUGAAGAAUAAGCAUCGGCUAACUCCGUGCCAGCCGCCGCCGUAACAC